AUGCAGUCGAACGAUGAACCGCUUUCGGGCGGGGAUUAGUGGCGAACGGGUGAGUAACACGUGGGCAAUCUGCCCUGCACUCUGGGACAAGCCCUGGAAACGGGGUCUAAUACCGGAUAUGACUGUCCGCCGCAUGGUGGAUGGUGUAAAGCUCCGGCGGUGCAGGAUGAGCCCGCGGCCUAUCAGCUUGUUGGUGAGGUAGUGGCUCACCAAGGCGACGACGGGUAGCCGGCCUGAGAGGGCGACCGGCCACACUGGGACUGAGACACGGCCCAGACUCCUACGGGAGGCAGCAGUGGGGAAUAUUGCACAAUGGGCGAAAGCCUGAUGCAGCGACGCCGCGUGAGGGAUGACGGCCUUCGGGUUGUAAACCUCUUUCAGCAGGGAAGAAGCGAAAGUGACGGUACCUGCAGAAGAAGCGCCGGCUAACUACGUGCCAGCAGCCGCGGUAAUACGUAGGGCGCAAGCGUUGUCCGGAAUUAUUGGGCGUAAAGAGCUCGUAGGCGGCUUGUCACGUCGGUUGUGAAAGCCCGGGGCUUAACCCCGGGUCUGCAGUCGAUACGGGCAGGCUAGAGUUCGGUAGGGGAGAUCGGAAUUCCUGGUGUAGCGGUGAAAUGCGCAGAUAUCAGGAGGAACACCGGUGGCGAAGGCGGAUCUCUGGGCCGAUACUGACGCUGAGGA
rnacentral:rRNA from 1 species